rnacentral:tRNA from 1 species
GGAGGGUUGCCCGAGUGGCCAAAGGGAGCAGACUGUAAAUCUGCCGGCUUAUGCCUACGGUGGUUCGAACCCACCACCCUCCACCA